UACCCCGCUGAAMUUAAGCAUAUCAAUAAGCGGAGGAAAAGAAACCAACAGGGAUUGCCUCAGUAACGGCGAGUGAAGCGGCAACAGCCCAGAUUUGAAAUCUGGCCCUCGGGCCCGAGUUGUAAUCUGCAGAUGAGUCUUCCGGCAGAGCGCCGUCCAAGUGCCCUGGAACGGGCCGCCGGAGAGGGUGAGAGCCCCGUACCGACGCGCGCCGAGCCUCUGUGAAGCUCAUUCGAAGAGUCGAGUAGUUUGGAAAUGCUGCUCUAAUUGUGGGGUAAAUCUCCCAUAAGGCUAAAUACCGGCCAGAGACCGAUAGCGCACAAGUAGCGUGAGCGAAAGAUGAAAAGAGCCUUGAACAAGGGCGUCAAAAAGCAUGUGAAAUUGUUGUGGGGGAAGCGUUCGAUGCCAGACAUGGCGGCGGUUGGUUACCCGGCGUUCUUCGCCGGCGCACUCUGCCGUCGCCAGGCCAGCAUCAGUUCGGCUCGAGGCCCACCGCCGGCGGGAAUGUGGCUCCCCUCGGGGAGUGUUAUAGCCCGUCGGUACCGUCUCGGACCGGACUGAGGACCGCGCUUCGGCUCGGAUGCUGGCGUAAUGGCCUCUAGCGACCCGUCUUGAAACACGGACCAAGGAGUUGACCUAGCCUGCGAGUGUUUGGGUGUCAAGCCCUUACGCGCAGUGAAAGCGAAUGCAGGUGGGAGCUUCGGCGCACCAUCGACCGAUCCUGAAGUUUACGGAUGGAUUUGAGUAAGAGCAUGCUGGGUCUGACCCGAAAGAAGGUGAACUAUGCAUGAAUAGGGUGAAGCCAGAGGAAACUCUGGUGGAGGCUCGCAGCGGUUCUGACGUGCAAAUCGAUCGUCAAAUUUGUGCAUGGGGGCGAAAGACCAAUCGAACCUUCUAGUAGCUGGUUCCUGCCGAAGUNCCCCNUCA
rnacentral:rRNA from 1 species